AAAAGUUUUUUUUACAAAAGACACGCGGUGAUCGAAUGGUAAAUGACAGCAACUUCAAUUCAAAGACACGUUCGCAGCUGGUCCAAGCUUUUCCUUUGCGGUGACACUACGGAUUAAAGAUGUCAGAUGUCUUAGUGCAAUUCUUGCUUACAGAACGUGGGCUGGAGGGUGGAUAGUGUCUUGCACGUAUUCGAGGGUAUCUGAGAAGCCUGACAGCUGUAGAUGCGCAGUCUUGCCAUUCCUGCGCUGGAGUUUACACACACUACUAGACACAAGGCGUGCACACCACUGUGAGGCGGAAUCCGCGCGUGUCUGUGGCUGACAGGAUCUUUGCUUUUCCCCUUCUCUCCGUCUCUCUCUCUCCCUCUCUCUCUCUCCCUCUCUCUCAGGUUGUACGCGUUCUCAUUCUGUGACUGGAUUCAUUUUUUAAAUUUGUGCUGUCGCUUGUAAACUGAAAGCGAUGCAGUGUGCACACUGAGGCCACUGGUUUCCACUUGCUUGCCCUUGUAGUCGCCGUUGACAGGAUGCAGGGAAAUACUGCGUGACUGAGGGGAUCGCAUCAUUCGGCGAGAAGCGGAGCCGCAUACAGACGACCCAGUGGGAGUGCCUCAGUAGUCUUGAAGAAUAAGAAAGAGGUCCGGGGGUAAACAACUGACAACUUUUUUUCAUGCAUGGUUUUAUCAUCCUCAGUUAAGGGAUACAGACGGCAGAACAACAUCGCCGUGGGUCUCGGCGGCACAUGGGUGCGGAGAUGAAGUCAGCAGGUGUUGGAAAUGGCGGGCUCUUCACUGAUAGCUACUGCAAUAUUUGCAAUGCACAGCUGAUCUCGGAGUCCCAGAGAGUCGCCCACUAUGAGAGCAAAAAACAUGCAAACAAGGUCCGUCUCUUCUACAUGCUUCACCCUGAAGAUGGAGGACCACCUUCAAAAAGACUACGGCCCGACAACCCGGACAGCGAUGAAUGUGAAGUCGACAGGAAUAAGUGCUGCACACUUUGUAAUAUGUUUUUCACUUCUGCGAUCGUCGCACAGUCCCACUAUCAGGGGAAGACACAUGCAAAGCGGGUGCGGCUUGUCCUUGGUGAGCCACCUAGCACCCCCAACACUACAGAAUCCGCACCCUGUACGCCACAACCCAAUGACCCAGCACCUCCCCCAACUUGGCCUACUGGUCGAGACAAUGAGGCAGGGAAGUUCUGUUGCCUGUGUGGUGCCUGGUUUAACAAUCCACUAAUGGCACAACAGCAUUACGAGGGAAAAAAGCACAAAAGGAAUGCAGCAAGAACGAGGUUGUUGGAGCAACUGGCAGGGAGCCUAGGAGCAACAGAGAGCACAGUUCUUCAAAGCAGUUACUCGUGUCAUGUCUGCAAAGUGGUCCUCAACUCCAUCGAACAGUACCAUGCACAUCUUCAGGGAUCCAAGCACCAGAACAAGCUUGACAACAAAUUGGAUUUGAUUUUUGGUUAGCAACGGUUGAUGACGUUUCGUCAUGAGAUCCCUUUCAUAGUAAUCUGCCUCAUCUCUCAUUGUGGCAGAAUAUGUGUGGGAGUUCUAACAUGAGGAGAAUUUUCCCUCAAUUCUCUUGUUCUGUUUUUUGCAGAAGUCUCAUUUUGAACACUGGUUUCCCAGAGUUGCUGUGAAUACAACUGGAUUGUAUUUGCUUCUUGUUUCUGCUGAGAUAUGUAUCUUUCUAACUGAAGUGAUCUGCCAACAUAUUUUCUUACCACAGCAAGGGAUACCAGAAAUGGACAUUGGCACCACACAGAAGGAAAACCAUCCCUCAACCACAAACCCUUAUCUAAUUUGAAGUACAUCCUUCACCACUGUCAUUCACCUUACCAUGACUCCCACCAUACUAUUUAUCCAUUUCUUGAUUCUAGUCUCACACAUUUCUCCAUGUGUCUUCAUGUCUGCCUCGAACUCUAACCUUUUGACAAUAUCUGAUCUUACAAGUUUUUCAUCUCCAAAAUGGAACAUCAGCAUAUUGUGAGCUACCUGAAAAUAAUCAGUUCUGUCAACAAUGUAACCUUAAAGAAUCCAUUGACAAGAACCGUUGUAUAACCCUGAAAUCGGACAUUUUUAGUAAAUAUAACUGAAUUACCUAUGUCUCACAAAGCAGUACUACAACAUUUUAAAUAUUUCUCAACUUAAACAGAAAUUUAUAUUACCACAAUAUAGGACAGCUUGGCAUUUUACAUUUUGGCACACAAGUACUUUGUCGAAAAGCAAACUGCCAGACACUUUUAAUUCCAGCUUGAGUUUCAGUUUUUUCUCUACUGGUCCUCUUUGGAAUGCAACCUCUGGUGCUUAUCUGAUAAAAUGAUCAAUCACCAAGUGACACCCCAGGGAUGUCUUCUUGUGAUACCAGUAAAAACAUUUGCCUUGAACAAAGAUCCAUAAGUCAAUGACUGCCAACCUUGAAGGACAAAACUUUGCACCAAUAGUCAACCAAAAGGGAUUGGCUUACGUACACCUAAGAAACCAAUAAUAAGACGUCUACUCCGUCCUUUAAAAAUCAUUGCGCACACCAAAUCUUUGAUUUCCCAGUAUGUUCACUGUUCUCAACUUGGCUGUAACUUGUGCUCUCAAUAGAAGGGACCCCAUUGCCUAUGGUGUGGCUGUUGAAAGGUUGGAGUGAUGCCUUUUAAUCUGAGUGGCAAUUUGGAGCUGGACUGGGAGAGUGGAAGAUGUUUCUCUUUUGAGUUGGACAAUUUGUCUACAAAUUUAUGCCUUGCUGAGGAACAGCAAGUGCAUGAGCAAGAGGGAGACCAUACAUAAAUGCCACACGUUUGUCUUCCUAAAGACAGGAGCUGAUUACCAGCUUCCGAGCGGAAAUAAACUUUGACAGCCAAAAGAUGACACUGCAUGAAAACUGCUGUACUGCCCACAACCAGAAGGUGUGACCAUGGCAAAGAAGAAGAAGAGGUCUUCAACAAAAUAAAGAAACGUUUGCUUAAGCUGACCCAAAAGGAGCAAAGCUUCUCCUGCACCAAACCAUAUUUAUGAGGGGAGAACCCCAAAAAUUCCUGGAAUUGGUCAUUUGCAUAGAAAUAGGGUGAUAUUUUUAACUAUGCCUGUAGAUACCAUAUGCCUAAAGACCUGUUAAUCUGUCUGCCAAGUGGCAUUGUGGUGAGUUAAUUGAGAUGCAUAUUUCUGACAUUUAUUCUGCAACUGUUCUGCAAGCCGAACAUCAAGACAACCGAUGAUCUCGUUUUUCUGCAUUAGUGAACGUUUUAAUAAAAGGUUUGUUUCCCCAUGAACAUACUGUUAACAAGUGACAUUACAAAAGCAUCUGGAAAAAACAUCCCAAGCUGUUGCAUUUUGUACUGUGACAGCUCAUGUGCACACAUCUUGUUAUGUGCCUUUUUCUAAAGAACAGAAUAAUUUCAACUAAGCUGUAGUAAUUUUAUGUUUUGUGUUUGUCUUUUAUUGUUCUUCAUCCAUAUUUCUU